GAACGCUAGCGACAGGCUAACACAUGCAAGUCAGGGGCAGCACAAGGAGCAAUCUGAGGUGGCGACCGGCGCACGGGUGAGUAACACGUAUGCAACCUGCCUGUAAGCGGGGAAUAACCCGUUGAAAGACGGACUAAUACCGCAUAAUACUAAAUUACUGCAUGGUAAUUUAUUUAAACAUUUAUGGCUUACAGAUGGGCAUGCGCAUGAUUAGCUAGUUGGAGAGGUAACGGCUCCCCAAGGCAACGAUCAUUAGGGGUUCUGAGAGGAAGGUCCCCCCACACUGGUACUGAGACACGGACCAGACUCCUACGGGAGGCAGCAGUGAGGAAUAUUGGUCAAUGGACGAGAGUCUGAACCAGCCAAGUCGCGUGCAGGAAGAAUUGUCCUAUGGAUUGUAAACUGCUUUUGCAGGGGAAUAAAGUGCAUCACGUGUGAUGUUUUGUAUGUACUCUGCGAAUAAGGAUCGGCUAACUCCGUGCCAGCCGCGGC
rnacentral:rRNA from 1 species